rnacentral:rRNA from 1 species
GACGAACGCUGGCGGCGUGCCUAAUACAUGCAAGUCGAGCGGAUGACGGAGGAGCUUGCUCCUCCUGAUUCAGCGGCGGACGGGUGAGUAACACGUGGGCAACCUGCCCUGUAGAUUGGGAUAACUCCGAGAAACCGGGGCUAAUACCGAAUAAUCCUUCGGACCUCAUGGUCCGAUGCUGAAAGACGGCAUCUCGCUGUCACUACAGGAUGGGCCCGCGGCGCAUUAGUUAGUUGGUGAGGUAACGGCUCACCAAGGCCACGAUGCGUAGCCGACCUGGGAGGGUGAUCGGCCACACUGGGACUGAGACACGGCCCAGACUCCUACGGGAGGCAGCAGUAGGGAAUCUUCCACAAUGGGCGAAAGUCUGAUGGAGCAACGCCGCGUGAGUGAAGAAGGUUCUCGGAUCGUAAAACUCUGUUGUGAGGGAAGAACAAGUACCGGAGUAACUGCCGGUGCCUUGACGGUACCUCAUUAGAAAGCCACGGCUAACUACGUGCCAGCCGCCGCUGUAA